rnacentral:rRNA from 1 species
AUUGAACGCUAGCGGGAUGCCUUACACAUGCAAGUCGAACGGAGUGGCGAACGGGUGAGUAAUGUAUCGGAACGUGCCCAGUAGCGGGGGAUAACUACGCGAAAGCGUAGCUAAUGCUGCAUCCUCUUGGAACGGCCGAGAUCGGAUUGGCUAGUUGGUGGGGUAACGGCCCACCAGGGCGACGACCCGUAGCCGGUUUGAGAGGAGGACCAGCCACACUGGGACUGAGACACGGCCCAGAUUCCUACGGGAGGCAGCAGUGGGGAAUUGUGGACAAUGGGGGAAACCCUGAUCCAGCCAUCCCGCGUGUGCGAUGAAGGCCUGCGGGUUGUAAAGCACUUUUGGCAGGAAAGCGGUACCUGCAGAAUAAGCACCGGCUAACUACGUGCCAGCAGCCGCGGUAAUAC